GCGCAGCAGUCGAGAAACCUCCGCAAUGCGGGAAACCGUGACGGGGUCACCCCGAGUGCCACCCGAUGAGGGUGGCUUUUCCCCGGUCUAAAAAGCCGGGGGCAAUAAGCGGGGGGCAAGUCUGGUGUCAGCCGCCGCGGUAAUACCAGCCCCGCGAGUGGUCGGGACGUUUAUUGGGCCUAAAGCGUCCGUAGCCGGCUCGGUAAGUCCCUCCUUAAAUCCACGGGCUCAACCCGUGGGCUGGGAGGGAUACUGCCGGGCUAGGGGGCGGGAGAGGCCGAGGGUACUCCCGGGGUAGGGGCGAAAUCCGUUAAUCCCGGGAGGACCACCAGUGGCGAGGGCGCUCGGCUGGAACGCGCCCGACGGUGAGGGACGAAAGCUGGGGGAGCAAAGGGGAUUAGAUACUCCCGUAGU
rnacentral:rRNA from 1 species